AUUGAACGCUGGCGGCAGGCCUAACACAUGCAAGUCGAACGAGUGGCGGACGGGUGAGUAAUGUCUGGGAAACUGCCUGAUGGAGGGGGAUAACUACUGGAAACGGUAGCUAAUACCGCAUACCAUCGGAUGUGCCCAGAUGGGAUUAGCUAGUUGGUGGGGUAACGGCUCACCAAGGCGCCGAUCCCUAGCUGGUCUGAGAGGAUGACCAGCCACACUGGAACUGAGACACGGUCCAGACUCCUACGGGAGGCAGCAGUGGGGAAUAUUGCACAAUGGGCGCAAGCCUGAUCCAGCCAUGCCGCGUGUGUGAAGAAGGUCUUCGGGUGGUAAAGCACUUUCAGCUGGGAGGCGUUACCCGCAGAAUAAGCACCGGCUAACUCCGUGCCAGCAGCCGCGGUAAUAC
rnacentral:rRNA from 1 species